CGAGUAAGCCAGACAAUCGCCGCUGAGUAAUUUCAGGGGAGGAAAGUCCGAGCUUCGUAGGGCAGGGUGCUGGGUAACUCCCAGUGGAGGCAACUUUAAGGAUAGUGCAACAGAGAUAUACCGCCAGAAUGAAGUUUUUCUUCAUGAGUUUAGCUUUUAGCUAACUGGUAAGGCUGGAAAGGGGAGGUAAGAGCUCACCAGCGCGUUGGUGACUUCGCGGCUAUGUAAACCCCACCUGAAGCAAGACCGAAUAGAGAGGCAAAUGGGGCUGCCCGUCCCGUCUCCGGGUGUGUCGCUUGAGCUUAUUGGUAACAAUAGGCCUAGAUAGAUGAUUGUCAAAUACAGAACUCGGCUUAUAGACUUAUCUCGUACA
rnacentral:RNase_P_RNA from 1 species